GUGCCCUUAGUUGUUCUGGGACGCACGCGCCCUACACUGAGGAAGUCAACAAGUUAAUUUCCUUCAUCGGGAGAUGUGGGGAAUCUUUUGCAACUUCAUCUUGCUGGGGACAGAGCAUUGGAAUUAUUGCUAUUGAACGAGCAAUCCCUAGAAAGCACAAUUCAUUAGCUUGUGCUGAUUACGUCCCUGCCCUUUGGACACACCGCCCGUCGCUACUACCGAUUGAAUGGCUUAGUGAGGGCUUCGGAUUGAGAUUUAGAGAUUGGCGACACUCCCCGGAGUUUGAAAACUUGGUCAAACAUCUUUAUAAGCAUAAAAAAAAAUUAUAUUCUUUUAUAAUUUAAAUAAAAUAACAACUUUAAACAACGGAACUCUUGGCUUUCGCAUCGAAGAAGAACGCCGCGAAUUGCGAUGAGUAAUGUGAGUUGCAGAAUUCCGUGAAUCAUCGAAGCUUUGAACGCAUAUUGCAGUCUCCGGUAAACCGGGGAGUAUGCGUGUUUGAGGGUCAGUGAAUAAUAACCAUCAUAAUCCUUUGAUUGUCGAAUUGGGCAUUUAUUUCACUAAUGAUUUAUGGCAUCAAAUUUAUGUUACCGAUUGUUU
rnacentral:rRNA from 1 species